ACUACGCUACACUUUCUCCUAUUUGACAUGGCCAAGAAACUGAGGCAGAGAGCCACACAGCUGUUAUCGGAAGCAGGGGGAAGGGCUGCUUGGUAGACAGAAGCUGUCCAUGUCCCUUCUGCCACCCCUGGGAUCAUUGGAUGACACAG